GGCGAUGUAGCUUAGUGGUAGAGUGCUUGCCUUGCAUGCAUGAAGCCCUGGGUUCAAUUCCUCAGCACCA
rnacentral:tRNA from 1 species